AAAGUCCCACGCUGUAAGGUAUAAGCCGUACCGCAGCUAGCGAGUCUUGGGUGGGUAGUAGAGAUACUGACUCCUAAGCGUAGACAGCGAAACUUGCAGGGCAUAACUAUAUAUAGCCUUGAUAUCAAAAUGUAAUUGGGAAGGAAGAGGUGCUCCUAUUCACUGAAAGCAAUACGGCUGUAAACGAUAAUGGCGAGAAUACAGCCGCUUCCCCGGUUUUUUUAGG
rfam:Clostridium sp. FS41 CLFS41_contig000067, whole genome shotgun sequence.